rnacentral:tRNA from 1 species
GGGAAGGUGGCUCAGUGGUAGAGCACUUGCCUUGUAUGCAUGAGGCCCUUGUUU